GUAUGGAUUUAUGGUUAUUGUUUUUUAAACAUUUGGUGACUGCGCUGUUGUUGUAGCUGGAAAUGGUGUAUAUGGUCGGAAAGACGAGAGUCUACGCUUUCCAACGGUGUGCAGCUUGUGUCGCUGAGGUUUAGCAGCUGGGCUGUACACGGUCAUGACUCGCAUGAUGCCCUCAGGCGUCCCUCAGGAGGGACAGUAGAACUUAAGACGCAGAUAGUGAGGUCGCGUCUUUGAAAAAAAACGGCAGCAGUGCUGAGGAGUAAAGAUUCAACCAAGGGGUGGUAACGCCACACAUGGGGGAUUCGGAUGUCCUUUAAGACGCAGUGCAGGACACACAUGGAAAACCAGUGGACCCCACUGGACCCCACUGGCACCAGCGCUGCCGUCGGCGCUUCCAGUGGCAGAGGUUUCUUCCGUGCGGGCCGACCGGGUUCCGAUGUCCGUUCACGGGUCGUGUCCUAAAGCGUGCUUUUACGCACAUGUUAAUUGACAUUACUACAGUAUAUACUAAGACAAAUAGAUGCUUGGUGACAGUAGUGUGUAGUGUUUAAUAAUAGGACGUCUUUAUAUAAAUAGCACCAGCUAGCACUGAUGCUGAGGACAUGAUGAUACAGUAUUUGGAGGAGCACGGGUUCUAUGCGCAACAGGAAAUAACAUUAGGGCUGAUUUCCUCACCAAUAAGCCACCAAUCAUGCCAGCUUCAAGUCUGUCCCUAACCGUCCACUGGCCUGUUCUCUGUCUGCUUUGUCUGCCAGAUCCCUCUGUAAUGCAUGUGUGGCUUGGAACCCUAGUGUGGUCAGCAAUGGGAUGUGCACCGGCACUAACGAUCGCUUUCACAUGAUGAACGGUUUUCGUGUUUCACCUCUUGAUGUCGCUAAUGGACCAAUAGCUGUAGAAAAGUCCUUACUUGUUCUCCCUGUGGAUGAACAGGAUGCGUCAAAAACAGUCAUUACCUUGGAUUAAGGGACCUUUUGAAAUGAUUUGACCUUUGACCAGCGCAGCCGCAUACUAUGAUCAGACCAAUACACGCUGCUCGUAGUGGUGAAUGGAUCAGUGGUGACAGUGUUUUUUC